rnacentral:rRNA from 1 species
UCGGGAAUUUUGGGCAAUGGGCGAAAGCCUGACCCAGCAACGCCGCGUGAAGGAUGAAGUAUUUCGGUAUGUAAACUUCGAAAGAAUAGGAAGAAUAAAUGACGGUACUAUUUAUAAGGUCCGGCUAACUACGUGCCAGCAGCCGCGGUAAUACGUAGGGACCAAGCGUUGUUCGGAAUUACUGGGCGUAAAGGGCGCGUAGGCGGCUCUUCAAGUCAGCCGUGAAAUCUCCGGGCUUAACCUGGAAGGGUCGGUUGAUACUGUCGAGCUAGAGUGUAGAAGAGGCAACUGGAAUUCCGUGUGUAGCGGUGAAAUGCGUAGAUAUACGGAGGAACACCUGCGGCGAAGGCGGGUUGCUGGGCUAACACUGACGCUGAGGCGCGAAAGCUAGGGUAGCAAACGGGAUUAGAUACCCCAGUAGUCCCUGAGCGGGCUGGCAAGGCGCAU